UACGGAGGGUGCAAGCGUUAUCCGGAUUCACUGGGUUUAAAGGGUGCGUAGGAGGGCAGGUAAGUCAGUGGUGAAAUCUCCAAGCUUAACUUGGAAACUGCCGUUGAUACUAUCUGUCUUGAAUAUUGUGGAGGUGAGCGGAAUAUGUCAUGUAGCGGCGAAAAUGCUUAGAUAUGACAUAGAACACCAAAUUGCGAAGGCAGCUCACUACACAAUCAUUGACUCUGAGGCACGAAAAGCGUGGGGAUCAAACAGG
rnacentral:rRNA from 1 species